rnacentral:lncRNA from 1 species
UCAAAUAAAUUAUUAAAAAAUUAAAAAAAAAAUCUAUUUCUUUCUCCUCUAUCACCACCACCAACUAUUUCCUCAUCCAAUCCCAUUUCUUGGCCACUAACUCCUCGAUAUAAAAACUAAGGCCGUGGUUGGUUUGUCGUUUUUGGCCCAUUUUCCGUUUUCCGUUUUCGAAAACGCGAAAAACACUUUUGGUCCGUUGUUUUCGAAAACGCAUUUUCGAAAACGAGUUAAAAUUUAUAACUGAAAACGCAAAAUGACUUUUUAUCGUUUUCAACUUUUUCAGUUAUAAAUGUCAAAACGUUCAAAACGUGGAAAAUGGGUCGUUUUCGGAGAAAAUUAAAAAUCGUUUUGAAAAUGAAAAUGUAAACCAACCACUACCUAAGCUCUUCUCAGUCCAAAUUAGAUGCGCAUUUGAGUAACUUCUUUUUGGCCACUAACUCCUCCACAACAACCAUUACAUUCUCUAUAUUCUUCUCACUUAAAGCAGCCAUCGGUGCCUCCUUAUGCCUAAAAUUCUUCAAGCGGAGGCCAUAGAAAGAACCAUAGGCGAGAGGUUAGAAACUCAACUGUAGUCAGUAGCCUCUGGUUGUCGGAGAUGGUCUCAAAGGUGACUACAGGAGGCUACAUUGAACAACGGUUACCUUCAUUGUUGUUGCUAGAGAUUUGAACUUUGUUGGACAUUUUUUCAAACACCUUGUGUGCUCAUCAAAACUAGAAUUUUUUUUUUACAGAUUGUAUCCUUAUGAAUCAGGAGUUGAAUGCUACAUUCGAUCAUCUCAAAUCUCCUUUUAGUGGUGAUCUUNNN